AAAAGCGUAACAAAAACUUUCUGGAGCAUCUUUCAGGCACUUUGAGUCUCAGUUUCGCGCUUUUCAAAAUGAAGAGAGUAACUGUCAAGAGGAUGCCCUCUCACCUAUUCCCGGGAUGCCACCAUUGUUCUUCUUGGAGGAUACCCUGUGAUGCAGUCACUUGGCAUGUGCUUGGUGCUUCCUGUUUUACUUCACUGAGGGAACAGUGAAGUCCUAGCUGCCAGUCCUCAAGCCCUUGCCUUCUGUGUCAUGCUCUGUCUGCCAUCUUGGUUCUUUGA